AUAUAUAAUGAAUAUAGUUUUUUAAUUUAAGUUAAAUUAAGUAUUAUAAGAAAUAUUAUAUUUUAUUUUCCUAAGGGUCUUUAUUAUAUAUUUGUUAAAAAAUUUUUAAGUACCUUUUGUAUCAGGGUGAUUUAAUUUUUUAAAUAUAUAUUUUUUUCCCGAAAUAAAUGGGUCAAUGAGAUUUUUAUUUUAUUUAUUUCAUAAAGUAAAUUAAUUUUCUUAUUGUAGAUAUAUUCUAUCCGACUUUUGUUAUAUCUGGUUUUUUAAGAUUAAAUUUAAUUUUAUAUUUUUUAUUUAAAAAUUUUAUUUUAUAAGGGAUAAUCUUUAUAAAUUUAUAUAAUUUAUUUGGUUUUAUUUUUAAUAGUUUUUAAAUUAUAUAUUGAGUUAUUAAUAUAUUAAAUUARUUUUAUAAUAAUUUUAUUUAAUUUAUAAUUUUAUUAAGAAUAUUUAUUUAUUAAUUAUUUAUUUUAAAUUUUGAUUUAAUUAGUAAAAUGUUAAAUUAAUAUUUUAUGAAUUCAACAAAUGUAAUUUUCAACUGUUUAACAAAAACAUUUCUUUUAGUUAUUAUUAAAAGUAUAUUCUGCCCUAUGAAAAUUUAAAUGGCUGCAGUAUUUUAACUGUACAAAGGUAGCAUAAUAAUUAGUCUUUUAAUUGAGGACUGGAAUGAAAGAUUAAAUGAGAAAUUUAUUUUAUUAUUUUUAAUUUUUAAAUUUUAUUUUUAAGUAAAAAAGCUUAAUUUUUCUUUUGGGACGAAAAGACCCUAUAGAACUUUAUUAUAAUUAAUUUAAUUUAAAUAAUUUUUUAUAAUUAAUUUAUUUAUAAUUUUGUUGGGGUGACAGAUAAAACAAACUUUAUUUUUAUAUUUCAUUUAUUUGUGACUAUURUGAUUUAAACUUUAAUUAUAAGACUAAGUUACCUUAGGGAUAACAGCGUAAUUUUUAUGGGGAGUUCAUAUCUAUAUAAAAGUUUGCGACCUCGAUGUUGAAUUAAGAUUAAUUAAUGAGGAAGUAUUUGUUUAUAUUAAGUCUGUUCGACUUUUAAAUUCUUACAUGAUUUGAGUUCAAACCGGUGUAAGCCAGGUUGGUUUCUAUCUUAAAUCUUAUUAAUAUAAUUUAGUACGAAAGGACCAGUUAUUAUAUUAUUAAUAUUUAUUUUUAAUAU
rnacentral:rRNA from 1 species